GACGAACGCUUGCGGCGUGCUUAACACAUGCAAGUCGAACGGAAAGGCCCUGCUUUUGUGGGGUGCUCGAGUGGCGAACGGGUGAUUAACACGUGAGUAACCUGCCCUUGACUUUGGGAUAACUUCAGGAAACUGGGGCUAAUACCGGAUAGGAGCUCCUGCUGCAUGGUGGGGGUUGGAAAGUUUCGGCGGUUGGGGAUGGACUCGCGGCUUAUCAGCUUGUUGGUGGGGUAGUGGCUUACCAAGGCUUUGACGGGUAGCCAGCCUGAGAGGGUGACCGGCCACAUUGGGACUGAGAUACGGCCCAGACUCCUACGGGAGGCAGCAGUGGGGAAUAUUGCACAAUGGGCGGAAGCCUGAUGCAGCAACGCCGCGUGCGGGAUGACGGCCUUCGGGUUGUAAACCGCUUUCGCCUGUGACGAAGCGUGAGUGACGGUAAUGGGUAAAGAAGCACCGGCUAACUACGUG
rnacentral:rRNA from 1 species